CUGACAGGCCCGUUUGAGUCACACAGGGCUUCAGUCUGACUCCUGAUAUCAGACAACAUAGCUGGAUUUUGGAGUUCUUCACUAGUAAAUGUAGGCAGGAUUUACCUACUGAGGCGUCUGCUGAGUUCAAGUGUACAUGCACCUUCGUUCUUAAUGUCAGCAAUUGAAACGCCCGACAGUGCCAAGCAGCGGUGAGGCCACACGACAGGAGUGGAAUUGGGCAGCGCUGUGCUGCUCUGAUCCAUGUUGAAGUUCUGUUUUAGGAAAUUCCUUUGCUCCUGGUGUUCUGCUUCCUUCAAGGAAAGGGCUCAACUGAUCACCUCAGCCAAG